rnacentral:lncRNA from 1 species
AUCUUUCUUUCGCGCAAAGGAUGCAGCCACGAUCCGAGAGAGAGAGAGAGAGAGUUGAGAUCGUCCACAGCUCCGGCGGUGGUUCCAGCUUCGUCGGUGAGAAACCCCCACCAUCCCUCCCCUUUCUUUUCACUUGUGAACAACUUAAGCGGCUCUCUUCUUUUCCUUGAUAUUUAGAAAUUCCCCGCAGUCUCUUUAUUCGAUUUCAGCUUUCCGUGGAUCAUAAAAAUUUUUCUCCAAAUCCAUGUCAUAAUGAAAAAGAUUUGAUCUUUGUGGGGUUACCCGGCUUCUCCGCUGGGGAAUUUUGACCCACUUGGAUUGUGUUUCUUUAUUGGCUUAAGGAGAGGCAUUUUAUUAGUGGGUUGGCGGGAUUGCAGGGGCCCGGCCUCCUAUGGAUUUGUUUUUGGCGGGUUUUGUUUGCUAACUUAAGAUUUUUUUUUCCCCCCUCGUUUUUAAACAUCUCUGUUUUCCCAAUCCUUUAUUACCAUUGACAGCAUUUAACAGGGUGAGGGUUUAUCAAUAAUGUUAGCUGACUAAUUUGUGAAAAGGCACUGUUUGCUUGUUAAUGGCAGAAGUCCAGGUGGUGUUUCACUUACUUGUUCUGUUUUCUGAAACAGAACACGUCUGUUCUGUUUUCUGAAAGCUCUCUUACCAUGAGAGAUUGUUCCUACAGUAAGUAUUACCAACAAUCUGCUGAAGUAUUGAGCUAGUAUACAUCAAUACAAUCUUGCGAUGUUUACAUUUUUUGAGCAAGAUGAAAUGAAUAUGAAUAUAAUGCUGUGACAGAAUAAUCGACUACCAAAAAGUAAAGAGUUUGCUUGAAAUUUUCCAAACUUCUCUGCCGUUUGCAGGCAAAGUAUGUAAAUCAUGACUCUCUACUUAAUAUUUUGUGAUGUUUAGAAAUUUAUUGUUAGAUUUAGAGAUGAGAAAUCUUCCCUGCAAUGUGUGAUACAAAAUUAUACUCACAUAAUGGUACAGUUUGUCAUAUACAUUGAUAAACUUGAUCUAGUUAUAUUUCCAUCUGAAGAUAGAAAAGAGGGAGAGAGAAUAUUCUUAAAUUCUUAAUUUGUCAUCAUCCAAGAACUAUUUUAUCUUUUUGUUUGAUUUAGAAGUUAGAUUAUCCUUCAGCACCUGAGACCUUACUUUCCUAUGGCAUAUCAUUAUUUUAUUUUUAUAUUUUAAAUAGAACAAGUUUUGACCAAUAAAUUUGGUACCAUUUGUUGCUCUAUCAAGUAUACAUUUUCCUAUGUUCUCUAAGAUUCAGAUAUCUUAGAGAAUGGGUAUCUUUACAUACAUUGGAUGGAUUAUUAGAUUUGUAUCACUAUUUGUACUUCAUUGAUAAGAAUCUUUCUGCUUUUGCUGAAACAAUGGUGCCAUCAUUUUGUCAACAUUGAAGUUCCUUGAGAAGGUGACUUAAAAUGUCUCUAUACCGAAAAGCUAGCAGUUACUUUACAAAUAACAUAUUAUGAAUAAAGAAAAAACUUUUCUUUUUGGUGUUUUGAACAUUCUUAGAAGAAACUAUGAAUAAACUAUUCUCAGAAACAUAGAAAAACAUUAUUUCCAAAUGUAGCAUCACCUUGUCGUUGCAGUUACCUAAUUGAAGUACGACUAAACAAAAAAAUGUGUUUUUAAUAUAGAAGAAAAUAUGAUGAACCAUUUUUGGAAACACAAAGAUUAGUCCAAAAUUAGCUCUUCAACACCUAUAGCUGUUGACAUUUCAAUAUUUUAUGUCAAUCAAAUCACAUCUGAAUAAUUGAUUAGACAUCUUUUUAUACAAAGCAAUAUAUUUAAAUGUUACAUUGUUACUUUUCUUAACACUUGGACCUAGGAAUCUGAUAGACCAUUUGUGGGCAAGUUAUAUAUAUUAUGUUCGCCGAUGUGUAAGAUAUGUAUACCAUUGAUCUAGCAAUGGAUCAGUUAAAAAGUUAGGGGUUGAGAAGGGAAAGGAUUUAGGGAUCCAUAGUUUUCAUAUAGUUAUUAUGGAUGUAUUGGAAUAGGAAGGAAAAUAAAAUGGAAGACUGCAAGUUGCUGAUAUUAAGAUUUUUGUAAUUUUUUGACUAAUAGCAUUAAAAGUAUAGGUGUGAAGGAGUGACAAUUAAUUUCUUGCAGUGAGAUAUAUGGAGAAGUAGUUUAGGAUUGAAAUAUUUUGGAUGUGAGGUCAUAAAUUAAAUUUGCUUCCAAAAGCUAUAUUUUGAAUGGUAUCUAUUAAAAGUGGAAAGUGGAAGGAAUAGGAGAACUGAAACUACUUAACAGUAUAGCGUUCCUAAAUAUAUUGGACUAUGUAACACUAAGUUUGAUAUUAAGUUUUUUUGGACUUUUUGAAAGUUAGUACAAAAACUAGUUUGAUAUUAAAAAUUUUGACAGAACAAAUUAAAUCAAUGCUACAGUUUUUGAUUUUGCUUAGGUCAGAACUUUCUGGACAUUUGACCUUAGCUCAAUUCAUGGUGCACUUGGUGCAACAUCAGCUUUCUUUCAUUUGGAAAGAACUCAGCCUUAGGAUUGCUUAAGUAGGAUUUUUGACCAAUGACAUUUCCUUGACCAUCUACUCAAAGAAGAAGUUGUUGUAAUCUGAUCAACAAUUGAUAUAAGAUGCCACAAAUAGAAAUGAGAUCUCCUAUGAGAUGCCAUCCAGAGUAAGCUGAAGAUAAAGGCCAGCAUAUUAAAAUCUUCGUAUUUUUUUUUGUAUAAAAUGGAAUCCAAUGAAAUGAACCUGGUGCUUCUAUUAGAAUCUUCAUAUUGAAAUGAUAGAAAGAAUCUAAAUUAUGGAAUUAAAGAUAUUUAAUCCCUAGCUACUAUAUUUCUUUUUUGUUGGAUGAGAGAUUUAAUUCUUGUUUUGAAGGAGCACUAGGAUUUUGUGGAUAAUAUGGAAGUGGAUCUAGAGCCAGAUUAUGUACUUCAAAAUUCAGAUAGGUGCAACCUUGGAAAAGAGGGAGGUUGAAAAAUGAAAAUAAAGAGCGUUGUCUUCAUUGAAAAGUAGCAAGCCCUGCUUAAAAAUCGUUACUUUCUUUGAACAAUAUAACUAAUUUGUGUUUUUUAUGUGAUCCGCAAUUUUUAAACGCCUGGUCAUUGGGAAGAAAUUUCAGUUAUCUCUUGUUUGAUUGAAGAAUCAGAAAGAAGUUGUGGAGAAAUUGGCGAGGAUAUGAUUGAGAUGUUUUGAUUUGCUUGACUUUGUCUCUUCGGUGUCAAUAUUGCUACCUAAAAUGGAGGAAAGAAUUAAGGCCUCUUUAAGAAUCUUUUGGCCCUUUAUGUCUUUCCUAUUAUUUUAUCAUGAGUUUUUUUUUUAUUCUCAGAUAUAUUUUCUAAUGUUAAUUCUCAAACAAACAAAAAGAUGAUUCACAUUGGAAAUUUUAUUUCUUUAUUUUAAUGUAAAAAAGGAUAUUUUGCCCCCAUGCAGGUUCAAACUACAGACCUUCAGUUUACAAGACUGACGCUCUACCACUGAGCUAUAGGGGCAUUAGUUUUAAUUAUGUACCUAUCAUCCAACAAUUACAUCAAAGCCUAAAAGGAAAAUAGCACAAAUUAUUGGUUUUAGUUUAUUCUAGUAUUCCAUUGGUUUUUUAAAGUCCUUGUAUAUCAAUUCAAAUGGAUUUGUAGUAGUAUCUUGAAGAUAGGUUUACUAUUAUAUAUUUGUUCAUGUUUGUUCCUAAGAGUUUUGGUGGGCUUAAUUUUAGAUCCUGGAUCUUGCUUCAGUAGCUAAUGUUAAGAUUCAAUUACAUGGUAGAUUACCUGUGGUUAUAGAAGAUGACCACUUAUGUAUCAUCUGUACACUGUGCUGCGAAAAUUAUUAGGAUGUAUGUGUUUCAUUUCAACUUGUAUUGACUCUCUGUGAAGCAUCUUGUUGUUAGCUUUGGGCACUGCUGAGAAAUCAGCCUUGCCUGGCAAGAACCUUGUAGCCAAGGGGCUUGUCUUUUUAAUGAUCAAUAUUUAAUAUUAGAACUGGAGUAAUGUUGACAUGCUGGGUAGUUUCACAUGUCUUGGUGUAAUAUGCCCAAGUUCAGUAUAAUCUAAUCGGACAUUCAGAGAUCAGCAAUGAAAAUUUUUAACAUGUGCUUUUUCAUGGUAUUGAUCUUUUCUUUUAUGAGAUUAUUUUGUUAUCAGUAACAAAAUUCGAGUAACUAGAGUUUCUUGCAGGUGGAAGCAGAAACUCCAAUUAAAUUCAAGUACAUUGUGAUGCCUUCAGCUGCUAGUGAAUGUACAAGUUUCAGCAAUUAGGUGGUUCUUCCCUCUUCCCAAGCUGAAAUUACAUGAAAACAAGCAACUCUGCAUUAAAUGAACACAUAAAUAAAUAGCAAUGUGAUGCUGAAUUCUGUGAGAAAAUCACAGUGUGCGCGAGAUGUGCUCAAAGAAAUCCACAGAACAAUGGACCAAAAUGUGGUAUCUUCCAAACACCAAACAAAUAUUUUCCUGUCUCAAAGAUAUUUGGGUAUGGCAAGACCACCAUUGUAUAAUCUUUCAGCAAUCAUAAUGUAUUCCUGCAAUGGGAGUUCAACUUGGAACUUUCAUAAGAAAUGACCAGCUUUAAGUUUUAAUUGUGUAUGCCAAAGGUGCACAAAUGAGUGUGGCAUGAGAUUGUGUGCGGGUCCAACCAACAGUAGAAGAGUCUUAAUCGACCAAAGAAGCAUUCCAUUGGGUAAUUUUCCAAAAAAAGGGUAGUGCAUUCCUUUUGAAAAGAUGUUUUACUUAUAUGAAUUGCUGUGAGUCAAGAAUUCCCAUUAUGGUUAAAUACUAUGUUCCAAUUGCAUGACUCCCCAAACUCCCCAUUUUUUUGGUCAAAUGUAGAUUGAAAUAUAAAUUAUGCCGGAUAACAUGUCAGAGCAUCCUACCAAGACCUUAAUGUUAUCAAUCUCUGGCUCUCUGCAUAUUUGUAGAAGAAUUAGAGGACUCAUAUUGCUGGCCUGAAGUGGAUGCUGUCAAGCUUGUUGCUUGUGGCUAUGCUUAAAUUUAUAAGGCUUAAAUUGGAUAGAAGCAAGCACAUCAUUGUCAAUGUAUAUUAAGGCAAAAGGAUUUUAAAUUUUUUUCUAUUUUUGUUAUUUUUAUCAUAAUUUCAUCAAAAGAGAUAAUUUAGUAAAAUAUUUUCUUUAUCAUGUUGAAUAUUUAACAUAUAUUUCAUAAAUUUACACGACAUUUUUUAUUUUCCUUUUAGUUUAUUCUGUUAAAUUAUGAUACUACAAUUCUCUAUCUUCUUGAAAUGGUACAUCUUUAUAUCUAACUAAAAUCAGGUGUGUGUCAAUGCAUAUUAAACUGUGGUAAGAUUCAGUUUCAUUUGCAGACUAUGUUUUGACCAGCACCAAAUCAAACAGCAAGUUGAUAUCAUUUGUUUGCAUUUGGAUGGGUGGAACUUGUAAUUUUCCUGAUUAUUUUAUAAAAUGCAGGAGGCUGCUCCCCAUCUUAGCUUGCACGUGGAAAUUUUUGUUUCAGAGUGUAGAGAAUAUGAAGGGGUUCAUAGGGAAAUUUUUGCAUGGAAACCUUGUUAGUGUUGGAAACCUGAUUUCAGUUGGUGCCUUCCAGUUAACAUUGCAUCUCCUGUUCACGUUAGCUGGAGAUGAAAUAUGGGCUGCUGCUGAUCCCUAAAACUAUGGCUACCCUGCAUGAUAAACAUAGUUGCAAUGAAGGCUUUCUUGCAGCAUGCGCUCACACAGUCUACUGAUGAACUAUGACAAGAUAAUAGCUGUUUGAGAAACUUUAAUUUUCAGAAAAUGGAACUUUGUACAAAGUUUUGAGCUUAUGUUUUCUUCUAUUGUUUCCAAAUGUAAUAAAAAAAUCAUUUGCAGUAAUUGAUUUUUACAUAUAUUUUGCCAUUAAACAAUUGCAGCAUUGUAUAAAUCUAUUUUCCUUUGCAUUUGACACCUUGCUGCUAGCCAG